rnacentral:rRNA from 11 species
CCUGCCAGUAGUCGUACGCUUGUUUCAAAGGUUAAGCCAUGCAUGUCUCAGUGUAAACUCAUUGCACAGUGAAACUGCGAACGGCUCAUUAAAUCGGUUCUAGUCUCCAGAGUGGUGUUUUCAAUCUAAAUGGAUACUUGUGGCAAAUCUAGAAACAAUACAUGCUUGGAGGCCUGACGGUGGUUGCACUGAAGGGCUGCAUUUAUUUGAUGUUAGGACCAAUACCUUUCGGGGUGAUUCGGGUGAUUCAGAGUAACUAUGCGAACCGCAGUGGCUUUUGGUCGGCGGUGACUUUAUGAGGUUCUGCCCUAUCAGGCUUUGCAACGGGUAUUGUCCUUUGCAACCGGUCACGGGUGACGGAGAAUCAGGGUUCGAUUCCGGA